rnacentral:rRNA from 1 species
UGGGGAAUAUUGCACAAUGGGCGCAAGCCUGAUGCAGCCAUGCCGCGUGUGUGAAGAAGGCCUUCGGGUUGUAAAGCACUUUCAGCGAGGAGGAAGGUGGUGGACUUAAUACGUUCAUCAAUUGACGUUACUCGCAGAAGAAGCACCGGCUAACUCCGUGCCAGCAGCCGCGGUAAUACGGAGGGUGCAAGCGUUAAUCGGAAUUACUGGGCGUAAAGCGCACGCAGGCGGUUUGUUAAGUCAGAUGUGAAAUCCCCGGGCUCAACCUGGGAACUGCAUUUGAAAACUGGCAAGCUAGAGUCUCGUAGAGGGGGGUAGAAUUCCAGGUGUAGCGGUGAAAUGCGUAGAGAUCUGGAGGAAUACCGGUGGCGAAGGCGGCCCCCUGGACGAAGACUGACGCUCAGGUGCGAAAAAGCGUGGGGAGCAAAACAGGAUUAGAUACCCUGGUAGUCCACGCUGUAAAACGAUGUCGAUUUUGGAGGUUGUGCCCUUGAGGCGUGGCUUCCGGAGCUAACGCGUUAAAUCGACCGCCUGGGGAGUACGGCCGCAAGAUUAAAAACUCAAAGGAAUUGACGGGGUCAUAGCUGUUUCCU